GUCAAAUAAAUAAAUAAGUUUAAACUGCACUUCUCAAUUCAAGUAAAAGUAAGGCGAUAUCACGUUAUAAUCACUGGCACCUUUCAUCACUUCGAUUUUCAACUUAGAUUUGAAAGUUUUUAUACACUUCAAACGUCGAAGGUCAUUACAGAGGCUGUUGUAUAUUCAUGCGUGGCUUGUUUCAAGAUUGGAUGAUGGUCGGGCAACUUAAGUUUUU